rnacentral:rRNA from 1 species
GACGGAGGGCGCAAGCGUUGUUCGGAAUUACUGGGCGUAAAGCGCGCGCAGGCGGGAAGGUAAGUCUGGAGUGAAAUUCCGGGGCUCAACUCCGGAGCUGCUUUGGAUACUGUCUUUCUAGGGACCGGUAGAGGCCGGUGGAAUUCCCGGUGUAGCGGUGGAAUGCGUAGAGAUCGGGAAGAACACCCGUGGCGAAGGCGGGUUGCUGGGCUGACACUGACGCUGAUGCGCGAAGCUAGGGAGCAAACGGGA